GGGGCCGUAGCUCAGUGGGAGAGCGCUGCGAAAGCAGAGAUGGCUGGUUCGAAUCCGCCAGGCUCCACCA
rnacentral:tRNA from 1 species